CAGUCGCCGCGGGAAUACGAAGGGGGCUAGCGUUGUUCGGAAUUACUGGGCGUAAAGCGCACGUAGGCGGACAUUUAAGUCAGGGGUGAAAUCCCGGGGCUCAACCCCGGAACUGCCUUUGAUACUGGGUGUCUAGAGUAUGGAAGAGGUGAGUGGAAUUCCGAGUGUAGAGGUGAAAUUCGUAGAUAUUCGGAGGAACACCAGUGGCGAAGGCGGCUCACUGGUCCAUUACUGACGCUGAGGUGCGAAAGCGUGGGGAGCAAACAGGAUUAGAUACCCCUGUAGUCCCUGUCUCUUAUAC
rnacentral:rRNA from 1 species